rnacentral:rRNA from 1 species
GACAGAGGAUGCAAGCGUUAUCCGGAAUGAUUGGGCGUAAAGCGUCUGUAGGUGGCUUUUCAAGUCCGCCGUCAAUCCCAGGGCUCAACCCUGGACAGGCGGUGGAAACUACCAAGCUGGAGUACGGGUAGGGGCAGAGGGAAUUUCCGGUGGAGCGGUGAAAUGCAUUGAGAUCGGAAAGAACACCAACGGCGAAAGCACUCUGCUGGCCGACACUGACACUGAGAGACGAAAGCUAGGGGAGCAAAUGGG